CUUAACACUUUUGUUAUAAGUGUACACAAACAUGGCGGCAUGAAGAACAAAACAUGCACAUGUGCCUGACAAAUUCACGCCGAUAGAGCCUUUGUGGAUUCAAGAAAGCUGUUUGGGGCAGAUUCCACCAAAACCAUUGAUUUCUGGGCUAGCUUCCAGAACAGUUUGAAAGCUAUUGACAGUGAGGAGAAGUGGAGGAGGCUCCAAGAGCGACAGGAGAAACGGAUUGCAGAAGAAGAAUAAUAAUAAUAUAAUAUUUAUUAAGAUUUAUUAGGAAACUUUAUUAUCCCCCGCGAAACGCGUCUGUGCAUCCGUGCGUCCGUCAGUGUGUUCGUCCGAGAUUCUUUUCCGGGCUAUAACUCCAUAACCGUUCAACACAGCUCCUUGAAACUUUCUGUAUAUAUCAGACUAGUGCCCUAGUUGUGCCUUUUGCUAUCGCAACCCUUCCAUUUUCGGUAUUUUUCUGUCACCAUGGAGACUUAAUCAAAAAUACAAAAUUACUUUUUCCUUAAUAACUCUUACUUUGAGCUUGAUAUAAACAUGUAUUUGGGUUUUCAUACCAACUGCGGGGUGCGGGGGAUAAAGCCAAGCUUUGCGCCUCCUUGUUUAACAAUCCCUUACUAGCUUUUCGAGUGUCUUCACAAUUAUACUAGUUAAACUCACUGGUCUAUAGUUUCCAGGAUCAGACUUUGCUUCCUUUUUAAAGAUUGCCGUAAUAUUCGCGUCUUUCCAUGCUUGCGGUAGCUUUCCAUCUGAUAGAGAUUUGUUAAAUAGAUAGGCCACAGGUUGCUUAUAUUUUUUCGUAAUUUCUUCAACACUCUUGGAUCUCUUGUUCUUUGUUCAACUUCUAAUGUUAGUACUUUGGCUUCUUUAAAAAGGGAUAGACUUUCUGUUAACAUUGGUUUAUCUAGCAUUAUUUUAAAAGCUUUAUUUUGCAGUUUUGUUACUUGGUGAAUUUGUUGUUUCGUUAGACUGUUUCUCCAUACUAUGGCUGCAUAAUCUGCAGUUGGUAAUAUGUAUGAAUUAUAGUUUAUUUUUCUUGCAUUUUUUUGUAAAUAUUUUUCAUUUGUAGAUUUAAUCAUGUUACUAAGAUUCCAUAAAUGUUACGAAGGACCAGGUUAUGCUUAUGCCAUACUGUGCCGUCGGGUGUCCGUCCGUCUGUCAACACAAUUGAUUUCUUCUUCUGAACCACUGAUCAGAAUUUAGGAAUCAUUUGGCAAUAUUGAUAUUAACAACUUCUUCUCUGAACCUAACCAAUGUCUGACAUUGAUAUUUCAGUAGUAGCAUCCCUAUGUGGCUGGGAUUCAAAUUUAUAUAAAUAAUGGGGCAUAACGCAUUAUUUUCAUGUUUGCUCAAAUAAUUUACCUGGUGAGCGAUACAGGCCCUCUGGGCCUUUUGUUCAUUAACAACUGCAUUUCUAAAUAGUUCACGUUUUGAAUGAUAUAGGGGUUUGUUUUGUAAUAUUAAUAAAUAGUUUGAAAUGCCAGAUUUCUUUGACUUAUUUGUAUUUAAAUUCUUUAGUUGAUGAACAGCCAUGGUUAUUUAAGGACGUUCCAUAUUUGAUGAGUAAAGAAAACCUAGAUCUCCAGAUAAAUUCCACAGUGACCUCAAGUCAAUAUUCACUGUACAUUGGUAACUACUCCAUGUGAAAUGGUGGGCUAGAGCUAGAAAAAAUUAUUCAUUCUGUAAAAGUGAUAUCUUAUUCUGGGAGAGAUUGAGCUUAUAUUAAUCAUGCUUGUUGGCCCGGAUGGAAGCACAAGGGGUCUUACUGUGGGAGGAAACUGGGAGUAUCCGGAGGGAAAACCACAAGGCCAGGCAGCUGACCGCAUUCCUUUUCACGUCUGAUUGAGGAAUCAAACUCCGGCCACCUAGUUUAAAGACAGUUGUGCUGCCACUGUGCCAACCAAACACCCGAGUGAUAUAGUCACCAGCUACUACAAAAGACCCCACCAUAAAACGACCCUGGCUGUUCACAGGGCGAUUAUCACAGCAAUCAAAAUAAAACAAACAUAUUCAAGAGUAAGACAUUGUAUGCCACUGAUUUUCAGUGCUGUUGUGUCCUGGAUAUCAUGCGAGGAAGGGGCCUCCUGCAUGUUGUUCGGUGAGGUAGUGACCAACUACUACAAACUUAGAUGCCUACUAUUUUUCAGAUACCAACCAAACUGGUAUAAACUGCUACCAUAUAAGAGGUUUGCAAACAAAUUGACAUCAUUGAUUAAAUGAAGCUGAAUUGAUAUUUUUAUUUUCUGAAAACUAAUUUGUUGUCUUUAUGUUUUUGGAUAGCUUCAACAUCCAGCUCCUAGAGCGACACCAGCUGUAAGAACUCCUGUCAGCUUCAAGUCUUUAGAAGGGAAAUUUCCACAAAGGUGAACAUCUGGAGAAGCUGAAAGACAGAUCUGCAACAUGGUGAAACUGUUUUCUGCUUUCGGCAAGUUAUAGGACUAGCAUUAUUAACAGACAGUCAGUCGCAGAAGGCAAGGCUCGACAGUUUUGAAACCCAUGUCAACAGUGUUAAGCUUCAAGGAAAAAGAUUCAAGGAACUGUAUAUCAUAUGAUUCUGCAUAAAUAUCUCCAAGCAGCAAAAGUGAUUUCUGGAACUAGAAGUAAUGAUGUUGGAGAGGCAAACAAUAUGAAUAAGACAACAGUAUCUCGGUCUUGUUGAAAAAGUGAUGUUUUUCUCUAUACGAGUGAUUAUGCCAAUAAUGCAAAGGCCAAUGACAUGGAUAGUGGUUUUUAAUGUUUAUAUACAUGUGUAGUGAUCUGUAUUACCACAACAUAAACUGACAUUAUAAAUUGAAAAUUAUUGGAGAAGUCUUAUUUACAGUGUAAUUUGUUUUGUAUGGAUUUACUUUACAUGAGCAUGUAUUAAAUGAAUUAUAUUUUUCAUUCUAAAUGACAAA